UACGUAGGGGGCAAGCGUUGUCCGGAAUCAUUGGGCGUAAAGCGCGCGUAGGCGGACCUGCAAGUCGGGGGUGAAAGCCCGAGGCUCAACCUCGGAACUGCCUUCGAUACUGCGGGUCUCGAGUCCGGGAGAGGUGAGUGGAAUUCCUAGUGUAGAGGUGAAAUUCGUAGAUAUUAGGAAGAACACCAGUGGCGAAGGCGGCUCGCUGGCCCGGUACUGACGCUGAGGCGCGAAAGCGUGGGGAGCAAACAGG
rnacentral:rRNA from 1 species